AUGGCUGCAAGAAAGGAUAAUGCAGUCCUUAUUGCUUGCCAAGCUCCCAAUGGCCGUGUAACACGAGCUCAAGCUGCUAAUUGUGGAAGGUUUGGAGUGCCUCACCCAGCACCGGUACUUGUCAGAACUGAACGAAAACCAGCGACUAAAGGAAAGGCGAAACGGGGAGCUUCAGAUGAGAACACUUGUGCAAGUGCUCUAACUUCAGCUCCACCUCCUAAAAGGCGAGCAGCACUCAAGGAUGUGACAAACAUAAGCUGUGCAAACUCGUUCAGAAAUUGCACUGCUGUGACUAAGCUACAGUCAAGGCCCACACAGAAGGUAGGGCGAAAUCCAAGCAAAAACAAGCAGUGUGCAAAGAAGGCCCCUAAGCCACCUCUUCCUACUCUUAGUGGAACUUCAUUUGUUGUGAAUGAUUCUCAUAAUGUGGAAGAAACUCAGAAGGCAGAGCUUUUGCCACCAAAAGAGGAGCCCACUGCUCUGCUCGAAAACAAGGGGUCGUUGUCAUUAUGGAAUUUUGCACGGAACAGGGAGAGUGGUGUUCAUGAGCCAUUCUUUCAGGGAAGAAACACAAGAGAUAAAUCUGAAACUGCCGACUCAAACACUGGGGACUAUGUUGGCUUAAACGUUAUAGACAUUGACAAAGAUAAUGGCAAUCCACAAAUGUGUGCUUCCUAUGCGGCAGAGAUAUACAGAAACCUAAUGGCUGCAGAGCUUAUAAGGAGACCUAAAUCAAAUUACAUGGAGACUUUGCAAAGGGAUAUCACGAAGGGCAUGCGGGGCAUCCUGAUUGAUUGGCUUGUUGAGGUUUGUUUGGAUUGCUUCUGA
rnacentral:rRNA from 1 species